CCUACGGGAGGCAGCAGUGGGGAAGUCUUGCGCAAUGGGCGAAAGCCUGACGCAGCCAUGCCGCGUGAAUGAUGAAGGUCUUAGGAUUGUAAAAUUCUUUCAGUAGGGACGAUAAUGACGGUACCUACAGAAGAAGCCCCGGCUAACUUCGUGCCAGCAGCCGCGGUAAUACGAAGGGGGCUAGCGUUGCUCGGAAUUACUGGGCGUAAAGGGGGCGUAGGCGGGUUAUCAAGUUGGAGGUGAAAGCCCCAGGGCUCAACCUUGGAAUUGCCUUCAAAACUGAUAGCCUAGAGUAUGAUAGAGGUAUGUGGAAACUCCGAGUGUAGAGGUGAAAUUCGUAGAUAUUCGGGAAGAACACCAGUUGGCGAGGACGACGAUACUAGGUCGUAUGUACGUAGACGCGUGAGGCGUCGAACGACGGUGGGUAGGACGAACGAAGAGUAGUAUACC
rnacentral:rRNA from 1 species